rnacentral:rRNA from 1 species
AGAGUUUGAUUAUGGCUCAGGACGAACGCUGGCGGCGUGCCUAACACAUGCAAGUCGAACGGUCUGCUGUUGAAAGCUUGCUGGAUGCAGUAGAAAGUGGCGGACGGGUGAGUAACGCGUGAAUACCUGUCCAUCGGAGGGGGACAACGGCUGGAAACGGCCGCUAAUACCGCGUAAGCCGAGAGGCGAAAGGCCACGGUAGUGGUUGCCGAUGGGGGGGUUCGCGUCCCAUUAGGUAGUUGGUGUGAUAAAAGCUCAUCAAGCCUACGAUGGGUAGCCGGACUGAGCGGUUGAUCGGCCACACUGGAACUGAGACACGGUCCAGACACCUACGGGUGGCAGCAGUGCGGAAUAUUGCGCAAUGAACGAAAGUUUGACGCAGCUAUGCCGCGUGGACGAUGAAGGCCUUCAGGUCGUAAAGUCCUCUUAUUAGGGAAGAACAAGCAGAGGGUACCUGUAGAGGAAGCACCGGCUAACUCCGUGCCAGCAGCCGCGGUAAUACGGAGGUUGCAAGCGUUGUUCGGAAUUACUGGGCGUAAAGGGAGUGCAGGCGGCUUGAUCAGUCUGAUAGUGAAAGUCCGGGGUCAACCCCGGAAUUGCUUUGGAUACUGUCAAACUUGAGUAUGUGAGAGGUGAGCGGAAUUCCAGGUGUAGCGGUGAAAUGCGUAGAUAUCUGGAGGAACAUCGGUGGCGAAAGCGGCUCACUGGCACAUUACUGACGCUGAGACUCGAAAGCGUGGGGAGCGAACGGGAUUAGAUACCCCGGUAGUCCACGCCGUAAACGUUGUCAACUAGGUGUAGGGUAUCGACCCCUCCUGUGCCGAAGCUAACGCAUUAAGUUGACCGCCUGGGGAGUACGAUCGCAAGAUUGAAACUCAAAGGAAUUGACGGGGGCCCGCACAAGCGGUGGAGCAUGUGGUUUAAUUCGAAGCAACGCGAAGAACCUUACCUACUCUUGACAUCCCCAGAACUUUCCAGAGAUGGAUUGGUGCCUUCGGGAACUGGGUGACAGGUGCUGCAUGGCUGUCGUCAGCUCGUGUCGCGAGAUGUUGGGUUAAGUCCCGUAACGAGCGCAACCCUUGUCCUUAUUUGCCAGCACGUAAUGGUGGGAACUCUAGGGAGACUGCCGGUGAUAAACCGGAGGAAGGAGGGGACGACGUCAAGUCAUCAUGGCCCUUAUGAGUAGGGCUACACACGUGCUACAAUGGUCGGUACAGAGGGUUGCCAAGCCGCGAGGUGGAGCUAAUCCCAUAAAGCCGUUCGUAGUCCGGAUUGGAGUCUGCAACUCGACUCCAUGAAGUCGGAAUCGCUAGUAAUCGUGAAUCAGAAUGUCACGGUGAAUACGUUCCCGGGCCUUGUACACACCGCCCGUCACACCAUGGGAGUGGGCUGCAAAAGAAGUGGGUAGCUUAACCUUCGGGAGGGCGCUCACCACUUUGUGGUUCAUGACUGGGGUGAAGUCGUAACAAGGUAGCCG